UUUUGCGGUUCAGGAUGGGCCCGCGGCCUAUCAGCUUGUUGGUGGGGUAAUGGCCUACCAAGGCGACGACGGGUAGCCGACCUGAGAGGGUGAUCGGCCACACUGGGACUGAGACACGGCCCAGACUCCUACGGGAGGCAGCAGUGGGGAAUAUUGCACAAUGGGCGCAAGCCUGAUGCAGCGACGCCGCGUGAGGGAUGACGGCCUUCGGGUUGUAAACCUCUUUCACCAGGGACGAAGCGCAAGUGACGGUACCUGGAGAAGAAGCACCGGCCAACUACGUGCCAGCAGCCGCGGUAAUACGUAGGGUGCGAGCGUUGUCCGGAAUUACUGGGCGUAAAGAGCUCGUAGGCGGUUUGUCGCGUCGUCUGUGAAAUUCUGCAACUCAAUUGUAGGCGUGCAGGCGAUACGGGCAGACUUGAGUACUACAGGGGAGACUGGAAUUCCUGGUGUAGCGGUGAAAUGCGCAGAUAUCAGGAGGAACACCGGUGGCGAAGGCGGGUCUCUGGGUAGU
rnacentral:rRNA from 1 species